CUGUCCUACGGGAGGCAGCAGUGAGGAAUAUUGGUCAAUGGGAGAGAUCCUGAACCAGCCAAGCCGCGUGAGGGAAGACGGCCCUAUGGGUUGUAAACCUCUUUUGUCGGAGAACAAAACCCGGGACGUGUCCCGGACUGCGUGUAUCCGAAGAAAAAGCAUCGGCUAACUCCGUGCCAGCAGCCGCGGUAAUACGGAGGAUGCGAGCGUUAUCCGGAUUUAUUGGGUUUAAAGGGUGCGUAGGCGGGCCGUUAAGUCAGCGUGAAAAUUGAGGGGCUCAACCCCGUC
rnacentral:rRNA from 1 species